UACGUAGGGAGCAAGCGUUGUCCGGAAUCAUUGGGCGUAAAGCGCGCGUAGGUGGCUUCGUAAGUCCGUUGUGAAAGUCAAAGGCUCAACCUUUGAAAGCCGAUGGAUACUGCGGAGCUAGAGUACGGAAGAGGCGAGUGGAAUUCCUGGUGUAGCGGUGAAAUGCGCAGAUAUCAGGAAGAACACCCGUGGCGAAGGCGGCUCUCUGGAACGCAACUGACGCUGAGACGCGAAAGCGUGGGGAGCAAACAGG
rnacentral:rRNA from 1 species